rnacentral:lncRNA from 1 species
GCCGUUUUUGAAAGAUAUAAUGUUAGCCAUCGAGAACUACAAAGUUUUUGCUACUUUUCUCAGCAAGAUUGAUGCCCUGAAUUUAGCAGGCGCUAUCAACAGAUCAGUAGGAAAAAGUGAUGGGCUACUUUCUGCACACGCCACAGUCAGUGUGAACCGGAGUGACUUGACACAAAGCUGGCCAAACAAGAUGUAGCUACAAACAAAACGGAGUUAAAUGGUUCCAGUAUGCCGUGAAGUGUUCAUCCAUGUAUACAGGAGGUUGGCUUCAGUGUACCGUUCAGGCUACACUAGCUCUUGUAAGUGACAUGUCUUCUUCUGAGACUGUUUAGUGAGUGGGCACUUCCAUCCCAAUUUCUUCACUGGAUUACAGUCAGUCUAUCACUGCCUGUGUCUGGCACAGUAGGACAUGGUCCCUGCUGGUGGUCUGAUUGGAGCAGCUUGCCUGAAUCACAGAGCCCCUGUCGAUGACACUCUGAAUAGUUGUGGGACCAGAUGGUUUGCCAACUCAUAAGAAACAAGAACAAUAGAAUAUUGGUACCCAAAAAAACGAACAAACACAUCAAAGUGUCGCUGGUGACUUGGAACAGUCGCUUUUUAUCAAGAACACAGGCCCAAAGAUAACAUAGUUGAACUACAUGGAAUAGCCAGGAAAUGAUGAGUGUGUAAUUUUGCUGAAUGUCAAGCAGACACAUAUUUUGUCCUCUUAUACAG